GAUUGUGAAUCUAACUAUAGAAGUCCAUCGCUUCUUAUUUACC
rnacentral:tRNA from 1 species